UGGAUCCACAUAUGUUAACUCAGUAGAAAGAAUAUAUGAUGUGUCUAGUUGUUCAAAGAGUUACAGAAAUUAUGUACCUAUAUCUUCCCAUAUUCCAGAAGCAUCUUCCUCUUGGCUGCCACAAUCUCCAUCCAAAGAAGCUACAUAUUCUUCAAGUCCAGCUCCAUCAAGACCUAAACCGUCUCCAUCACCACCUAAACCAUCUCCAUCACCCUCUGA
rnacentral:misc_RNA from 1 species